AUUGAACGCUGGCGGCAGGCCUAACACAUGCAAGUCGAACGGUAACAGGAAGCAGCUUGCUGCUUUGCUGACGAGUGGCGGACGGGUGAGUAAUGUCUGGGAAACUGCCCGAUGGAGGGGGAUAACUACUGGAAACGGUAGCUAAUACCGCAUAACGUCGCAAGACCAAAGAGGGGGACCUUAGGGCCUCUUGCCAUCGGAUGUGCCCAGAUGGGAUUAGCUAGUAGGUGGGGUAACGGCUCACCUAGGCGACGAUCCCCAGCUGGUCUGAGAGGAUGACCAGCCACACUGGAACUGAGACACGGUCCAGACUCCUACGGGAGGCAGCAGUGGGGAAUAUUGCACAAUGGGCGCAAGCCUGAUGCAGCCAUGCCGCGUGUAUGAAGAAGGCCUUCGGGUUGUAAAGUACUUUCAGCGGGGAGGAAGGGAGUAAAGUUAAUACCUUUGCUCAUUGACGUUACCCGCAGAAGAAGCACCGGCUAACUCCGUG
rnacentral:rRNA from 1 species